rnacentral:tRNA from 1 species
GGAACAUUAGCUCAGUUGGUAGAGCAAUCGGCUGUUAACCGAUAAGUCAUAGGUUCGAUUCCUGUAUGUUCCG